rnacentral:rRNA from 1 species
UACGGAGGAUGCGAGCGUUAUCCGGAUUUAUUGGGUUUAAAGGGUGCGCAGGCGGCCUGUUAAGUCAGCGGUAAAAGCCCGGGGCUCAACCCCGGCGAGCCGUUGAAACUGGCUGGCUUGAGUUGGGGAAAGGCAGGCGGAAUGCGCGGUGUAGCGGUGAAAUGCAUAGAUAUCGCGCAGAACCCCGAUUGCGAAGGCAGCAUACCGGCGCCCUACUGACGCUGAGGCACGAAAGUGCGGGUAUCGAACAGG